rnacentral:rRNA from 1 species
GUCUUUUAGAAUAUAAUUUAAAGUCUAACCUGCCCACUGAAUUUUUUUGAAGGGCCGCGGUAUUUUGACUGUGCAAAGGUAGCAUAAUCAUUAGUCUUUUAAUUGGAGGCUUGUAUGAAUGGUUGGAUGAAACAUUAACUGUCUCAAUAUAAUAAAAAUAGAAUUUAAUUUUUAAGUUAAAAAGCUUAAAUAAUAUUAGAGGACGAGAAGACCCUAUAGAUCUUUAUAAUUGAUUUUUUAUUAUUUAUAUAGAAUAUUAAUUAGUAUUAAUUAAUUAAUUAUUUUAUUGGGGUGAUAAAUAAAUUUAGUAAACUUUAUUUAAUUUAAACAUUUAUUUAUGAAUAAUUGAUCCAUUAUUAGUGAUUAAAAGAUUAAGUUACCUUAGGGAUAACAGCGUAAUUUUUUUAGAGAGUUCUUAUCGAUAAAAAAGUUUGCGACCUCGAUGUUGAAUUAAAGGUUAAUUUUAGGUGCAGAAGUUUAAAGUUUUGGUCUGUUCGACCAUUAAAUC